rnacentral:lncRNA from 1 species
GCGCCGCCCUCAACUCCGCCACAUACUGCGGCCGGAAGCUGGAAAGCUUCGUUUUCAACUCAAAUCCAUCGGUAAAUCUUUUCCCCUUUUUAUUUUUCGAUGUAUGUAUGUAUUUAUAAAAAGAAAAAUAAAUAAUCACCUCUGUUUCUUCAAUCGACUGUUGGUCUUUUUAUUAUAUGUGUGUAUAAAAAAAACCGUAGUUUACAUCCUUUUGAUUCGGGCUUUUAUAGCCACUAUAAAAGAAAAGAAAAAUAUUUUACAAUCUUUGAUUUUAUUUCCUGCCAUAUUUGCAUUAGUCUCUGUUGUUUCUUCUUUCCUUUUUUGCAGGUACCAGCGAAGAAUCCGGCGGUGAAUGCGCUGGCGUUGAUUCGUGCACCGAUUACGGCGUGAUAUGGCGCCGAAGUCAUGAUGUCGAUAGAGGCGUCGAUGAAGGUCACUGGAACGACGCAAAAAGGGUGUGACGAUUGCCGUGCCUGCGGCGCGAAUUCUAGAACCUUCCUUUAGCGUUUGAGGCACCUAGGGUUUCAGAAACCCUAAGUCUUCCAUCCUCUGUUUGUAAUUUGGGCCUCCUUGGGCCAUGCCCAUUUGUGGGUUGGGUGUAACCAGGAAUUGGGUAGUUUAGGUAUUUGGGCUACAAGUGUAAUGGGCCACUGGCUUAAUCUGUAAAUGGAGUGUAAAGGACUUUUUAUUAUUUUUGUUUUUAUUUAUUUAUUUUCUUUUUUUGGGGCCAGG